AUACAGAGGGUGCGGGCGUUAAUCGGAAUUACUGGGCGUCAAGCGCGCGUAGGCGGUCUAUUAAGUCAGAUGUGAAAUCCCAGGGCUCAACCUUGGAACUGCAUCUGAUACUGGUAGACUAGAGUUUUGGAGAGGGGAGUAGAAUUUCAGGUGUAGCGGUGAAAUGCAUAGAGAUCUGAAGGAAUACCAGUGGCGAAGGCGACUUCCUGGCCAAAAACUGACGCUGAGGUGCGAAAGCGUGGGUAGCAAACGGGAUUAGAAACCCUAGUAGUCC
rnacentral:rRNA from 1 species